GACGAACGCUGGCGGCGCGCCUAACACAUGCAAGUCGAGCGAUGAACAUUGAAUGAUCCCUUCGGGGUGAUUUCGAUCGGAUUAGCGGCGAACGGGUGAGUAACGCGUGAGGAACCUGCCUCUUACAACGGGAUAGCCUCGGGAAACCGGGAUUAAUACCGUAUAAGACUCCGACAUCUCCUGAUGAUGAAGUCAAAGCGUUAGCGGUAAGAGAUGGCCUCGCGUCUGAUUAGCUUGUUGGCGGGGUAACGGCCCACCAAGGCGACGAUCAGUAACCGGCCGGAGAGGGUGAACGGUCACAUUGGAACUGAGACACGGUCCAAACUCCUACGGGAGGCAGCAGUGGGGAAUUUUGCACAAUGGGGGCAACCCUGAUGCAGCGACGCCGCGUGAGCGAUGAAGGUUUUCGAAUCGUAAAGCUCUGUCCUAUGGGAAGAUAAUGACGGUACCAUGGGAGGAAGCCCCGGCUAACUACGUGCCGGCCGCCGCCGUAA
rnacentral:rRNA from 1 species